rnacentral:lncRNA from 1 species
CAUCUCCUUGACUGUGUACUGAGCUGGCAGACACAGACUCUCAGUGCAAUGUGGUCCCAAUGGAUUAAGGACCUUGUGGACUCAUGCACCCAAAUGAUGCAUCAUCUAGUCUCCGUGAACUUCCAAUUUAAAUUUAAGAUGCACUCUAACCAAAAGAUAUUGGUGGACAGUGAUGGCCUUUCUACCCUCGAAUCACAGCAGAACUGAAAUGAUGCAGACCAGGUUUACUUCAGUUAUCACGUGUUCAAAUUGUAAGCUAACUUUUGGGGGUGUUUGCACACUGUUCCUUCAGAACAGUUGAUUUUUUUCAGGUUCAGUACUGGAAGCUCACAGUUGCUUCUCGUUUUUGUUGAACUCUUUAGAAAUUUUGUAUAAAUUCAAGGUAAAAAAUCAGUUUCC